rnacentral:rRNA from 1 species
AGUGAACGCUGGCGGUAGGCCUAACACAUGCAAGUCGAACGGCAGCACAGGAGAGCUUGCUCUCUGGGUGGCGAGUGGCGGACGGGUGAGGAAUACAUCGGAAUCUACUCUGUCGUGGGGGAUAACGUAGGGAAACUUACGCUAAUACCGCAUACGACCUACGGGUGAAAGCAGGGGACCUUCGGGCCUUGCGCGAUUGAAUGAGCCGAUGUCGGAUUAGCUAGUUGGCGGGGUAAAGGCCCACCAAGGCGACGAUCCGUAGCUGGUCUGAGAGGAUGAUCAGCCACACUGGAACUGAGACACGGUCCAGACUCCUACGGGAGGCAGCAGUGGGGAAUAUUGGACAAUGGGCGCAAGCCUGAUCCAGCCAUUCCGCGUGCAGGAUGAAGGCCCUCGGGUUGUAAACUGCUUUUGUACGGAACGAAACGGUCUGCUCUAAUACAGCGGGCUAAUGACGGUACCGUAAGAAUAAGCACCGGCUAACUACGUGCCAGCCGCCGCGGUAA